AGAAGCUCCAACUGCCACUAAUGAAUAAGGAGAAAAGCUGCACUUUCUAAGUUUUGGUUAGCAGGUAGUGAGUUUAUUAAAGACUCCAUAUGAAGCACGAAUGGACAGGCCUACUGAUGGGCUCAAGCAUUCUGAUACCAGAGUUUGCUCUUCCCCUCAGGAUGGCUUGAAGGUGCCCAUGUUGUCUGAAAUAGGUCUCAAUCACUUUUCCUUAACUGAUACUAAA
rnacentral:lncRNA from 1 species